GAUGAACGCUGGCGGCGUGCCUAAUACAUGCAAGUCGAGCGAACAGACGAGGAGCUUGCUCCUCUGACGUUAGCGGCGGACGGGUGAGUAACACGUGGAUAACCUACCUAUAAGACUGGGAUAACUUCGGGAAACCGGAGCUAAUACCGGAUAACAUGUUGAACCGCAUGGUUUAACAGUGAAAGACGGUUUUGCUGUCACUUAUAGAUGGAUCCGCGCCGCAUUAGCUAGUUGGUAAGGUAACGGCUUACCAAGGCAACGAUGCGUAGCCGACCUGAGAGGGUGAUCGGCCACACUGGAACUGAGACACGGUCCAGACUCCUACGGGAGGCAGCAGUAGGGAAUCUUCCGCAAUGGGCGAAAGCCUGACGGAGCAACGCCGCGUGAGUGAAGAAGGUCUUCGGAUCGUAAAACUCUGUUAUUAGGGAAGAACAAAUGUGUAAGUAACUAUGCACGUCUUGACGGUACCUAAUCAGAAAGCCACGGCUAACUACGUG
rnacentral:rRNA from 1 species